rnacentral:rRNA from 1 species
CCCUUAGACGUUCUGGGCCGCACGCGCGCUACACUGAUGCAUUCAACAAGCCUAGCCUUGACCGAGAGGUCCGGGUAAUCUUUGAAACUGCAUCGUGAUGGGGCUAGAUUAUUGCAAUUAUUAAUCUUCAACGAGGAAUGCCUAGUAAGCGUGAUUCAUCAAAUCGCGUUGAUUACGUCCCUGCCCUUUGUACACACCGCCCGUCGCUCCUACCGAUUGAAUGUGUUGGUGAGGAGCUCGGAUUGGCAGCAGUUGGUGGUUCGCCACCGGCUAUUGCUGAGAAGUCCUCCAAACCGCCCCAUUUAGAGGAAGGAGAAGUCGUAACA